AAAAUGUAUCGGUGCUGACGAAGCUUACCUUCACAAAUGGCGGGAGAGAAUGCAACUUUUGAGAACUGGGUAUUUGCAAGGAGCAGGAUCUGGACAUGAUGAGGAGGAACCACAAAGCCUUGCACCUCUAAGUUAUUGGAAAUGACUUUGCUGUCUCGGUUAAUCUGAAGAGAGGUUUGACACAGCCAUGGCGUGAGUGGGGCUCAAACUCGUGACUUCCCAGUUACAAAGUGAACGUUUUCUACCAAUGCUUCAGUGACAGGAGCCUGGAUUAGUACUAUUCUACUACAGCCCAGAAAUAUGCAUUUGAUCGUUUACCUACAUAACCAUGAAUUAGGUCACCAUGACGUCAUGACAUUUUCCAAAACAGACUGUUUGCUGACGAAAAAGGUAAUCCUUUGAGUAAUGAUAUGUCAUCCAUGCCUGUCCCGAUCAUUAAGAUUUUCAAGUUCUCAGAAAACUACUGGACCUGUUGUCAUCAGAAUUUGUGUGUAACCUU